UACCAGCACCCCGAGUGGUCGGGACGUUUAUUGGGCCUAAAGCAUCCGUAGCCGGUUCUACGAGUCUUCCGUUAAAUCCAACUGCUUAACAGGUGGGCUGCGGAAGAUACUAUAGAGCUAGGAGGCGGGAGAGGCAAGCGGUACUCGAUGGGUAGGGGUAAAAUCCGUUGAUCCAUUGAAGACCACCAGUAGCGAAGGCGGCUUGCCAGAACGCGCUCGACGGUGAGGGAUGAAAGCUGGGGGAGCAAACCGG
rnacentral:rRNA from 1 species